UCGGGUAUGGUGUAGCGGUAACAUCGCUGACUCUCAUGGCGUAGCCUUGAUCUGUCUCAGCAGCCCGGGGUUCGACUCCCCGUAUCCGAG